rnacentral:tRNA from 2 species
GGCCAAAUAAUUAUUGGAUAAUAUUUGUUUUGAAAGCAUGUUAAAGAGGUUCGACUCCUCUUUUGGUCU